rnacentral:rRNA from 1 species
UACGUAGGUGGCAAGCGUUGUCCGGAAUUAUUGGGCGUAAAGGGCUCGUAGGCGGUCUGUCACGUCGGGAGUGAAAACUCAGGGCUUAACCCUGAGCCUGCUUCCGAUACGGGCAGACUAGAGGUAUGCAGGGGAGAACGGAAUUCCUGGUGUAGCGGUGAAAUGCGCAGAUAUCAGGAAGAACACCAAUGGCGAAGGCAGCUCUCUGGGACGGUACUGACGCUGAGACGCGAAAGCGUGGGGAGCGAACAGG